UUUGUUAUACCCAAAGUUGGCAUGGGUCUCGACAGAUCCACAUCGACAAAUCAACAUUCGUUAAGAUGGGCCUAUCCAUCUUAAUUAACAAAAGAGUUUCAACCCCAAUAUCAGAAUUGGACCAAGUUUUCUAUUCUCGUCAUUCCACCAGGUCAUUUCAUCAAUAGACCUCCUUUACUUAAGAAGAUUAUCAAUGCUGUAAACCCAUUCUUAGAAUAGGGGUCGCUACAUGAAAGUGGCUCCUGGGUCGCUACACCCGGAUCGUCAUCCGGGAUCGUCAUCCUUAGGGGUCGCUCCUUUCUGACUCAUUCUUCAACAAAACUCUCCAGCCUUAUCAUUUAUACUCCAAGGUGGCACUUGGGGAGUCAUCAACUUUAUACGACUCAUAAGAGUCCCGGCUAGAGCGGCAUAAGUGUAUCUAAUAAGGUCUCUACCUCCGCCAUAAUGAGGUCUCUACCUCCGUUCUCUUGAGAUCUAAACCUUUGGUUACUAGAUCGUUAUCCAUUAUUCGAUCCACUUCAUGGCAGCUCGUUAGUCAUCUAGGCUUGGGAUAUACGAGCUACGGGCCUUCUUAAGAGCGCUUAUACGGACCUGUGCCCUGAUGGACCGCGAUAAAUCUCAUUCCAUCUAGAUUAUUUGUUCCGAAAGAACUACGUGAUAGUUUCAACCCUAUAAAUAGGUAAUGUAAGCCUCUUGUGUCGCCAACUUGAUUCUCGUUAAGAACGCCGAAAAACACUUUUUCUUGUUUGUUUAUGGAUCAUUAGCUACAAUAUCCAUCACCCUAUAUAUGUGUUUCAUAACGUUUUUGCUACAUUCAAGCAAGUUCCUACA